rnacentral:rRNA from 1 species
GGUUAAGCGACUAAGCGUACACGGUGGAUGCCCUGGCAGUCAGAGGCGAUGAAGGGCGUGCUAAUCUGCGAUAAGCGCCGGUAAGGUGAUAUGAACCGUUAUAACCGGCGAUACCCGAAUGGGGAAACCCAGUGUGACUCGUCACACUAUCAUUAACUGAAUCCAUAGGUUAAUGAGGCGAACCGGGGGAACUGAAACAUCUAAGUACCCCGAGGAAAAGAAAUCAACCGAGAUUCCCCCAGUAGCGGCGAGCGAACGGGGAGGAGCCCAGAGCCUGAAUCAGCAUGUGUGUUAGUGGAAGCGUCUGGAAAGGCGCGCGAUACAGGGUGACAGCCCCGUACACAAAAGCGCAUGUGCUGUGAGCUCGAUGAGUAGGGCGGGACACGUGGUAUCCUGUCUGAAUAUGGGGGGACCAUCCUCCAAGGCUAAAUACUCCUGACUGACCGAUAGUGAACCAGUACCGUGAGGGAAAGGCGAAAAGAACCCCGGCGAGGGGAGUGAAAAAGAACCUGAAACCGUGUACGUACAAGCAGUGGGAGCACAGGUUUACCUGUGUGACUGCGUACCUUUUGUAUAAUGGGUCAGCGACUUAUAUUCUGUAGCAAGGUUAACCGAAUAGGGGAGCCGGAGGGAAACCGAGUCUUAAUUGGGCGUUAAGUUGCAGGGUAUAGACCCGAAACCCGGUGAUCUAGCCAUGGGCAGGUUGAAGGUUGGGUAACACUAACUGGAGGACCGAACCGACUAAUGUUGAAAAAUUAGCGGAUGACCUGUGGCUGGGGGUGAAAGGCCAAUCAAACCGGGAGAUAGCUGGUUCUCCCCGAAAGCUAUUUAGGUAGCGCCUCGUGAAUUCAUCUCCGGGGGUAGAGCACUGUUUCGGCUAGGGGGCCAUCCCGGCUUACCAACCCGAUGCAAACUGCGAAUACCGGAGAAUGUUAUCACGGGAGACACACGGCGGGUGCUAACGUCCGUCGUGAAGAGGGAAACAACCCAGACCGCCAGCUAAGGUCCCAAAGUCAUGGUUAAGUGGGAAACGAUGUGGGAAGGCCCAGACAGCCAGGAUGUUGGCUUAGAAGCAGCCAUCAUUUAAAGAAAGCGUAAUAGCUCACUGGUCGAGUCGGCCUGCGCGGAAGAUGUAACGGGGCUAAACCAUGCACCGAAGCUGCGGCAGCGACGCUGAUGCGUUGUUGGGUAGGGGAGCGUUCUGUAAGCCUGCGAAGGUGUGCUGUGAGGCAUGCUGGAGGUAUCAGAAGUGCGAAUGCUGACAUAAGUAACGAUAAAGCGGGUGAAAAGCCCGCUCGCCGGAAGACCAAGGGUUCCUGUCCAACGUUAAUCGGGGCAGGGUGAGUCGACCCCUAAGGCGAGGCCGAAAGGCGUAGUCGAUGGGAAACGGGUUAAUAUUCCCGUACUUGGUGUUACUGCGAAGGGGGGACGGAGAAGGCUAUGUUGGCCGGGCGACGGUUGUCCCGGUUUAAGCGUGUAGGUGUGUGUUCCAGGUAAAUCCGGUUCACUUUAACACUGAGGCGUGAUGACGAGGCACUACGGUGCUGAAGCAACAAAUGCCCUGCUUCCAGGAAAAGCCUCUAAGCAUCAGGUAACAUCAAAUCGUACCCCAAACCGACACAGGUGGUCAGGUAGAGAAUACCAAGGCGCUUGAGAGAACUCGGGUGAAGGAACUAGGCAAAAUGGUGCCGUAACUUCGGGAGAAGGCACGCUGACACGUAGGUGAAGUGAUUUACUCACGGAGCUGAAGUCAGUCGAAGAUACCAGCUGGCUGCAACUGUUUAUUAAAAACACAGCACUGUGCAAACACGAAAGUGGACGUAUACGGUGUGACGCCUGCCCGGUGCCGGAAGGUUAAUUGAUGGGGUCAGCGCAAGCGAAGCUCCUGAUCGAAGCCCCGGUAAACGGCGGCCGUAACUAUAACGGUCCUAAGGUAGCGAAAUUCCUUGUCGGGUAAGUUCCGACCUGCACGAAUGGCGUAAUGAUGGCCAGGCUGUCUCCACCCGAGACUCAGUGAAAUUGAACUCGCUGUGAAGAUGCAGUGUACCCGCGGCAAGACGGAAAGACCCCGUGAACCUUUACUAUAGCUUGACACUGAACAUUGAGCCUUGAUGUGUAGGAUAGGUGGGAGGCUUUGAAGUGUGGACGCCAGUCUGCAUGGAGCCGACCUUGAAAUACCACCCUUUAAUGUUUGAUGUUCUAACGUGGACCCGUGAUCCGGGUUGCGGACAGUGUCUGGUGGGUAGUUUGACUGGGGCGGUCUCCUCCUAAAGAGUAACGGAGGAGCACGAAGGUUGGCUAAUCCUGGUCGGACAUCAGGAGGUUAGUGCAAUGGCAUAAGCCAGCUUGACUGCGAGCGUGACGGCGCGAGCAGGUGCGAAAGCAGGUCAUAGUGAUCCGGUGGUUCUGAAUGGAAGGGCCAUCGCUCAACGGAUAAAAGGUACUCCGGGGAUAACAGGCUGAUACCGCCCAAGAGUUCAUAUCGACGGCGGUGUUUGGCACCUCGAUGUCGGCUCAUCACAUCCUGGGGCUGAAGUAGGUCCCAAGGGUAUGGCUGUUCGCCAUUUAAAGUGGUACGCGAGCUGGGUUUAGAACGUCGUGAGACAGUUCGGUCCCUAUCUGCCGUGGGCGCUGGAGAACUGAGGGGGGCUGCUCCUAGUACGAGAGGACCGGAGUGGACGCAUCACUGGUGUUCGGGUUGUCAUGCCAAUGGCACUGCCCGGUAGCUAAAUGCGGAAGAGAUAAGUGCUGAAAGCAUCUAAGCACGAAACUUGCCCCGAGAUGAGUUCUCCCUGAGACUUAGAGUCUCCUGAAGGAACGUUGAAGACGACGACGUUGAUAGGCCGGGUGUGUAAGCGCAGCGAUGCGUUGAGCUAACCGGUACUAAUGAACCGUGAGGCUUAACCUUACAACGCCGAAGAUGUUUUG